rnacentral:misc_RNA from 1 species
AAGUCGUAACAAGGUAACCGUAGGUGAACCUGCGGUUGGAUCAUUACAAAAAAUAUAUACCUUAAAGAGGUGGGGAUUCAUUUCCUCUCGCUUUAUUGUAUCCACAUUAUUCGAAUCAGGAGCGCAAGCAAUUGAGGAGAAAAAUAAAAACAUAUUGUGAAACGUUUCUGUCUCUGGCGAGCGGGCAGUCUAAACAACUGCUUGUCAGCAGGGUCCCUUUCUGGGGGAUGCUGCCGUGGACAACUCGUCAACCCCUUCUAUUUUAACAUUUGCUGUACCUAAUUUGUCUGACAUAACCUG